AGUCGAACGAAGCAUUUGCGACAGAUUUUUUCGGAAUGAAGUUGCUUAUGACUGAGUGGCGGACGGGUGAGUAACGCGUGGGUAACCUGCCUUGUACUGGGGGAUAGCAGCUGGAAACGGCUGGUAAUACCGCAUAAGCGCACAAUGUUGCAUGACAUGGUGUGAAAAACUCCGGUGGUAUAAGAUGGACCCGCGUCUGAUUAGCUAGUUGGUGAGAUAACAGCCCACCAAGGCGACGAUCAGUAGCCGACCUGAGAGGGUGACCGGCCACAUUGGGACUGAGACACGGCCCAGACUCCUACGGGAGGCAGCAGUGGGGAAUAUUGCACAAUGGAGGAAACUCUGAUGCAGCGACGCCGCGUGAGUGAAGAAGUAAUUCGUUAUGUAAAGCUCUAUCAGCAGGGAAGAUAGUGACGGUACCUGACUAAGAAGCUCCGGCUAAAUACGUGCCAGCAGCCGCGGUAAUACGUAUGGAGCAAGCGUUAUCCGGAUUUACUGGGUGUAAAGGGAGUGUAGGUGGCCAUGCAAGUCAGAAGUGAAAAUCCGGGGCUCAACCCCGGAACUGCUUUUGAAACUGUAAGGCUAGAGUGCAGGAGGGGUGAGUGGAAUUCCUAGUGUAGCGGUGAAAUGCGUAGAUAUUAGGAGAAACACCAGUGGCGAAGGCGGCUCACUGGACUGUAACUGACACUGAGGCUCGAAAGCGUGGGGGAGCAAACAGGAUUAGAUACCC
rnacentral:rRNA from 1 species